CUUCAAGGAAGAUGGAAGAUAAUCUGUGGAUUUCUCAAGCCAUGGUCUAUCCAAGUGGGCAGUGAAGUGAGCAUUUGGCUGGGCUGCAUCUUUCCUCAGAGGAGUGGAAUCAAGCACAUCUCUUUGUGGGUACAGGGAUGUGAAACCUCACGCUGAACCAGAGGUUGGACCGCAGCACCCAUGGGGUCCCUCCAGCCUCGCAGCCUGCAAAUAUUCAGGCAGGAUCUGGAGCAAUUUACUGGUUAUAAACUAACAGCAACAAUUCAGUGACAGAGCCUCUGCUACAAACCAGCAUCUUUGGCAUCUCUUUUGUUUCCUGAGUUCCUACAAAACGUGAAAGAUCAAGUGAUAUGCUCAUGACAUUCCUUGAAGGAAGGAACCAUAUGCCGUUCUCAUGCAGCAAACCAAAGCUCGCAGCUUAUGGUAAUGUAGCUCCCAGAAAGAAAAGAGAGAAGAAAAGAAAUUAAAAAAAAAAAAAAAAGGUGUGUACAGAAUUGGAAGAAAAAUCUUUCCAUGCCCAGGAAGCCAUUACAGCUCUGGAAGCAGGGAUUGCUCAGAAGAAAAACUGCCUCUUUUCUCUCCUAAGUAGAGAAUAUAUCGGACGUGUAAAAUUUUAGCACGCACUUUCUGAUUCAUUGCUGUGCAGUUAUGUACUGUACGUCGCAUCAACACAACAUAUUAAUGCAAGGGUUUUGCAGCUCUUUAGAAGUGUGGAUUAAAUCUCCAAAACUGUUAACGUGUUGUGUUUGCUGUAUAUUUAUAGAUGGUGCGUCCGCUGGUACCUUGAUUUCCUUCACUUUGUGCCUUAACUUAAAAACAGCCCUUACACUGCCCCCCACCUCAAAAAAUAAAAUAGAACAAAACAAACAGAAGUUUAAAAUUGACCCCUUCCCUGUCCCACAGAAAAGAAUUAAACACGACUUUUUUUCUCAGGGAAACAGAAGGGAUAGGUGGGGAGAAAGCAGAGAUGGAAGUCACAACUGUUUGCAGGAAUCUCAGCUCUGUAUUUUUAGAUGUCUCUGGCUGUCACAACUGUGAAGAAAUCCCA
rnacentral:lncRNA from 1 species